GGCAACCCGCUUGUGUCCCUUUGCAUACUGUGGAAGCUUUGUUCUUUUGCUCUUUGCAGUAAAUCUUGCUACUGCUCACUCUUUGGGUCCCCGCUGCUUUUAUGAGCUGUAACAUUCACCGCGAAGAUCUGCAGCUUCACUCCUGAGCCCAGCGAGACCACAAGCCCACCGGGAGAAACGAACAACUCCAGACGUGCUGCCUUAAGAGCUGUAACACUCACCGCAAAGGUCUGCAGCUUCACUCCUGAACCAGCGAGACCACGAACCCACCAGAAGGAAGAAACUCCGAACACAUCUGAACAUCAGAAGGGACAGACUCCAGACGCGCCACCUUAAGAGCUGUAACACUCACCGCGAGGGUCCGCGGCUUCAUUCUUAAAGUCAGUGAGACCAAGAACCUACCAAUUCCGGACACAUAGAUUCAAGACAUCAGUGGAAAAAUAAACUCCAUGUAAUGGGAAUAGCAAGAAAAAUAGCACUAGAAGUGGACCUUGAAGAUUUGACUGACCUGUGGAAAUCUCAUAGUAAAACCUGAAUGGAAGAAGAGUUGGUUCUUACAGCCUGGGGCAAGACAACACCAAAUGCCACACAGGAAAACAUGAAGGUUGCAUUUUGGAAACAGAGUGAAGCUGGAGUUUGGGAAGGCAGAUUUGCAGUAUCAAG